rnacentral:lncRNA from 1 species
GCAUCAUACACACUUCCAUGUCAGAUCAUUUUGCCAGACUGCCAGAAGUAGGCCAGAAGAAGCUGGUCAGCAGACAGAGCAUCCCUAAGGAGACAUUUUGGAAAGGGAGCGUAGGUUCUGUGGAUGUUGGGAACAACUUCUUCAAGUGAACAACCUACCACUAUGAACGUAUAGCCUAGCUCUGAUAUCUAUAAGUAGCCAAAUGUUCCUUCCCAUGUUUUACAACCACAUCAGAGUGAGCUUUAAGGUAAUACAGCUUUAGUGUCAGCUGUAUUUCAGUAAUUUUCUCCCUGUUCCACUUCUAGUGGCUGGUAAUACAUUUUUACCAAAUGUGAGAAUUGAAUUACUUGAAAAGAACUCUCAAUGGUUUGAAAAUAAGGUGUUCUUGUAUUUAAGUGACUAGAUUGUGAUUCAGGAGACCAAAACUCUUCAUUUUUUUUCACCUGUGUCACAAACUGAGUGAGCUGAGAGGAACUGAAGUGGGUUUUUUUUUUAGGUAUUAAAUAACAUUGAUUUUGGAGUAAAAUGAAAAUACAAGAUUCUGAAAGGACGUGGGGUUUCUAAUUAAACUUCUUGGGGUUACAUUGUAACUGUCAUUUUAAGUGCUAUCUCACUAUUGGAAUACACAACAGAAGUAAAACUAAGGGUCCCUGCGCUCUUACACAGUUAAAGUACUUUCAGAUGCCUAAGUUCCCUUGAUGUCAUACUGCUGUGAUUGUGAUUCUUUAAAUUAGUGACAGCUGAGCUGGUUGCAACUAAUGGAUAGCUGCAGUGAGUGUAGUUAUAUCCUUAGUAGGUUGGAAGCAAGAUGGGUUGUGGAAGAUAUUUCUGUUUUCUGAAUAAGUAAGACUCAACAGAGAAAUCCAAACACCCCUCUGUGAAGUGUUUCUGGAGUUUAUCCCCUGCUGAAAGUCUCCUCUAAGAAAUGUACCUUGUGACCUUGGUUGAAAACUGUAUUCUUCAGCACACCAGGCAAUGGAAACAAGCCCUUAAAUUUCAAAGAAAAAAAAUCUGGAAAGUUAAGCUGUCCAAACAAGCUCUAAUUCAAGAGUUUCAGGACCAAUUGAUCUGUGAGUAUGCACAGAUCAGAAAUUAAGGUGGUAGUAAUGUUUGGAUAAUCGGUUAUGUGAGAACAAGGGAACCAUAUGUGAUGUUGUAAACAGGAAGUAGGUCUUAGAAUUUGGAAGAGCAUUAAUAUGAAGAGGAAGUAUUUCUCCCAGUGUAUUUUGUUGCAGCAAGAGAAAAAUAGAUAUAUAUAACUUGAAAAUAUCUACAGAAGCUGACACACUUGCUGUGUUUUUCGAUUUGAAAAUUGAAGAGAUUACAUUUCCUCAAUCAAUGCUUCUGAAAAGUAAAAAGAAAUAAAAAUGUAGGAAAAGGAAAGAAUGGAAAUACA